rnacentral:rRNA from 1 species
UGAUGACGAGACGCUAAGGCGUUGAAGUGGUGUAUGUCAGACUUCCAAGAAAAGCUCGCAAUGUCAUAGAUAAAAAAUGCCUGUACCAUAACCGACACAGGUGGGUAGGUAGAGUAUACUAAGGGGCGCGAGAUAACUCUCUCUAAGGAACUCGGCAAAAUGACUCCGUAACUUCGGGAGAAGGAGUGCCUUAUUUAUAAGGUUGCAAUAACAAGAUCCAAGCAACUGUUUAUCAAAAACACAGGUCUCCGCUAAGUCGUAAGACGAUGUAUGGGGGCUGACGCCUGCCCAGUGCCAGAAGGUUAAAGAAGUUGGUCAGUGUAAGCGAAGCUGAUAACUGAAGCCCUGGUGAACGGCGGCCGUAACAAUAACGGUCCUAAGGUAGCGAAAUUCCUUGUCGGGUAAGUUCCGACCCGCACGAAAGGCGUAAUGAUUUGGAUACUGUCUCGGAGAGAGGCUCGGUGAAAUAGACUUGUCUGUGAAGAUGCGGACUACCUGCACCAGGACAGAAAGACCCUACGAAGCUUUACUGUAACUUGAAAUUGGAAUUGGACUUUGCUUGCGCAGUAUAGGUGGGAAGCGUUGAAGAUACUCUUGCGGGACUAUUGGAGCUAUCAGUGAGAUACCACUCUUGUAAUGUUAGAUUUCUAACUUUGAACCAUAAUCUGGUCAAAGAACAGUUUCAGGCGGGCAGUUUGACUGGGGCGGUCGCCUCCUAAAUGGUAACGGAGGCGUACAAAGGUUUCCUCUGAACGGAUAGAAAUCGUAUCUAGAGUGUAAAGGCAUAAGGAAGCUUGACUGUGAGACCUACAAGUCGAGCAGGGACGAAAGUCGGUCUUAGUGAUCUGACGGUACUGAGUGGAAAGGCCGUCACUCAACGGAUAAAAGUUACUCUAAGGAUAACAGGCUGAUCUCCCCCAAGAGUUCACAUCGACGGGGAGGUUUGGCACCUCGAUGUCGGCUCAUCGCAUCCUGGGGCGGUAGUACGUCCCAAGGGUUGGGCUGUUCGCCCAUGAAAGCGGUACGCGAGCUGGGUUCAGAACGUCGUGAGUCAGUUCGGUCCAUAUCCGGUGUAGGCGUUAGAAUAUUGAGAGGAGCCUUCUUUAGUACGAGAGGACCGAGAAGGACACACCGCUGGUGUACCAGUUAUCGUGCCAACGGUAAACGCUGGGUAGCUAUGUGUGGAGAGGAUAACCGCUGAAAGCAUCUAAGUGGGAAGCCCACCUCAAGAUGAGUAUUCUCA